UAGCUAGUUGGUGAGGUAACGGCCCACCAAGGCGACGAUUGGUAGCCGGACUGAGAGGUUGAACGGCCACAUUGGGACUGAGACACGGCCCAGACUCCUACGGGAGGCAGCAGUGGGGGAUAUUGCACAAUGGGGGAAACCCUGAUGCAGCGACGCCGCGUGGAGGAAGAAGGUUUUCGGAUUGUAAACUCCUGUCGUUAGGGACGAUAAUGACGGUACCUAACAAGAAAGCACCGGCUAACUACGUGCCAGCAGCCGCGGUAAAACGUAGGGUGCAAGCGUUGUCCGGAAUUACUGGGUGUAAAGGGAGCGCAGGCGGACCGGCAAGUUGGAAGUGAAAACUAUGGGCUCAACCCAUAAAUUGCUUUCAAAACUGCUGGCCUUGAGUAGUGCAGAGGUAGGUGGAAUUCCCGGUGUAGCGGUGGAAUGCGUAGAUAUCGGGAGGAACACCAGUGGCGAAGGCGACCUACUGGGCACCAACUGACGCUGAGGCUCGAAAGCAUGGGUAGCAAACAGGAUUAGAUACCCUGGUAGUCCAUGCCGUAAACGAUGAUUACUAGGUGUUGGAGGAUUGACCCCUUCAGUGCCGCAGUUAACACAAUAAGUAAUCCACCUGGGGAGUACAACCGCAAGGUUGAAACUCAAAGGAAUUGACGGGGGCCCGCACAAGCAGUGGAGUAUGUGGUUUAAUUCGAAGCAACGCGAAGAACCUUACCAGGUCUUGACAUCCGAUGCAUAGUGCAGAGAUGCAUGAAGUCCUUCGGGACAUCGAGACAGGUGGUGCAUGGUUGUCGUCAGCUCGUGUCGUGAGAUGUUGGGUUAAGUCCCGCAACGAGCGCAACCCUUAUUGCCAGUUACUACGAAAGAGGACUCUGGCGAGACUGCCGUUGACAAAACGGAGGAAGGUGGGGAUGACGUCAAAUCAUCAUGCCCUUUAUGACCUGGCUACACACGUACUACAAUGACGUUUAACAAAGAGAAGCAAGACCGCGAGGUGGAGCAAAACUCAAAAACAACGUCUCAGUUCAGAUUGCAGGCUGCAACUCGCCUGCAUGAAGUCGGAAUUGCUAGUAAUCGCGGAUCAGCAUGCCGCGGUGAAUACGUUCCCGGGCCUUGUACACACCGCCCGUCACACCAUGAGAGCCGGGGGGACCCGAAGUCGGUAGUCUAACCGCAAGGAGGACGCCGCCGAAGGUAAACUGGUGAUUGGGGUGAAGUCGUAACAAGGUAGCCGUA
rnacentral:rRNA from 1 species